CAUUUCAGUAAUAUUUGAGUAACUUUGUAAAUAAGUUGUUUGAUUAGGAAUUCUUUAUUGAUUAUAUAAUUUAUUAUGGUUAUACAUAAAAAUACGUGAAUUGCAUACAUCAUGACGCUACCAUGUGAUACGUGGGCACCUCACUGUAAGUAAACUAAGUUAGACUUGCCUCUGUCGGCUCACCUAUUUUCCUUCCAAUUAGAUUUUAUGUUCUGGAGUUACAAAACGUAACCGAGAGUUACCCAUAUGAUUCCAGUCUCUACUUUGCCGUAAGGAGAUCAGUUGGCGGAGAUGGAAGAGAAGACCAGGGAGUGACAGAGCGAAUAGUCCCGUCAGGCUGCUGGGAGGGUCAGAAGGGGAUGAUAUGUCUGAUAAUGAAGCUGCAAAUGGUUGUCUAUUGAGUGUGAGGGCUGGUGGUGGGGAGAGUGAGGAGGAGGGCUGCUUUGCCCUUUCUAUCCCACCAUACCAGGGAUCCAAACAGCUCUGCCAGGUGAGGAAGCCAUUUGGCACCUUGCACCCAGUGCUCACAACAUCCUUCCUCCAUCUCUCUCCAGCUACCAUUACGAAGCUAUCAAUUUGAUAAGCUCUUCUACAUCUUAACCCGUCAGCAACUCUACCCCAUUACUGUUGCAUGUCGUGUCCUGACCAACACACCAGACAAAAUUCCUAAUACAUGUAAAUGUAUAUGGUGAAUUAAGUUUAGUGUUGAUCCUGAUACUUACUGCAAAUGGACCUGAAAAGCAACAUGUGAGUGAUUAUUAACUGUUAUCUGGGCUCCCUUGCCUGAUAGUUGGUGCAUUUUGCUUUCAGGUAACAACUGGAUUCUGGAGAGAGAUACUUGGGUAUCAUUGGGACCUAUGAUCUUGCAGGACUAUUAUAAUCCCUAUCUCUCUCUUUUAGGGAGAUCUCUCUGUUUACAAGUUCCCUGUGCCUUCGGCUCAGAUGAGAGAGGAGCAUAUGUGUGUUGACCGGAGGCAUUCCAGUGGUAAUAGCCACUUUCUUCCUCGUCCUCUUUGUGGUCACCAAACGGUUAAAAACAAUCAUCCCUGAACAGUAGAACAGGCAUGAACUGAAUCUGAUGAAGUAAGGGGAUUACAAGUGUCACCUCGUAAAUCUAGUAAAGCUCCAUCCUGCUCCAACUCUUUGUCAAUGAUUACAGGAUGUAAUCAAUGAUCAUGGUUUUAACUCCAUAAUCAAGUUCGCAGAUGACACCACGCUGGUGGAUCAGAGGGGAUGACAAGACGGCCUACAGGAACGAGGUCCAGCACCUGGCCGCGUGGUGUGCCGACAACAACCUGGCCGUUAUCACCCAGAAGACCAAGGAGAUCAUUGUGGACUUCAGGUAUGCUGGGAGCCACACUCACAUCCUCAUCUACAUCAACGGAGCUGUAGUAGAUCAUGUAUCGAGCUUCAAAUUCCUUGAUAUCCACAUUUCUGAGGAUAUCACCUGGAACUCCUCCAAUCUGAUCAAAAUGGUGCAACAGUGCCUUUAUUUCCUGCGGAGCACAAAGAAAGUUCAUCUCUGUCCCAGGAUACUGACGGACUUUUACCGCUGUACCAUUGAGAGCAUACUCACCAACUGCAUCUCAGUGUGGUAUGGCAGUUGUCCCGUAUCGGACCACAAAACACUCCAGCGUGUGGUGAAAACUGCCUAGCGGAUUAUCAGCACCCAAUUGCCCACCAUUGAGAACAUCUACCAUAAACGCUGCAUGGGCAGGGCGAAAAGCAUUAUCAAGGAUGCAUCUCACCCUAAUCAUGGACUUUUUACUCUCCUCCCAUCCAGUAGGCACUUCAGGAGCCUUCCUCCACUCCUGCACCAUCAGGCUCAGGAAGAGCUUCUUCCCUGAGGCUGUGACCCUGCUGAAUUGCAUCCACACUGUACCGUCUCAAUACUUUUAUAUUUGUAUGCUGUAGCACUUACUUUUUAUUUGUAGUUAUUUUGUAAAUAAUACUAUUUGCAU